UUCAUGUCUAGUCUCCCACGUUCUGCCCUUGGCCCGUUCUUUAUUGCGACCCGCCCCGCAUCUUGAUCACCUAGUUGCCUCACUCGGAAUCUGCCCCAACCAAAUCCUACCGGUCCUGGGAAAUCCAGCGGCCCCAGCAAUGGUCCGGCGCAGCCUGCCCUGACGCCGUUCCUUCGGCCUCCCAAAGCCCCCAGAGCCUGUGACCUGCCUUUGCCACUCAGUGCAGUGAAGGCCUGAGGCCAGGGAGACCCCUGGACUGCAGGACCAGCCUCACCCCUCUCUGGGGGCUCCUCCAGUCCCACCUGGUGCCUGGCACAGCCCUAGUCGUCCUGAACUGAGCUUUCUCCCGAAGCGACCGGUAGGGGGCAGCAGCGGCCUAUAGGUCACUGGAAGAGGGCCGUUUCCGCCGGGGGGGAAAGUGGGAUACCCGGGCGCAGGACCCAUCCAAGCCCAUCUAGCUCAGAGCAUCUCUGGCAUUCCUGGAGGAUUUCGUGGAGCCCUGUUCCAGACCCAGCGUUGGCUUUAGUUCUGUCCACUACCCCGCACCUGCAGUGGGGGCCCGGAAAGAG